AUGUUUCCAGUUCACGACAGCUACAGCCGCGAUACGUUCUGCUCUUUUCUCGACGUGUGUUCCGCCAGAUUAAACACAUUUAGAGCAACGUUAACCCGACGCUUGCCUUCCUCUACCGCCGCCCUCCACGUUGAGAAAACAAAUUCCGUGACAGUGAAAGCAAAAUAAAAGCAGGACCAGAGAAACACUGUGUCGUGAACAGAAGGAUUUAAUAAUCACUGCUUCAGCAGACAUUUAGAAAGUGACCUGGGAACAGUCAGAGGAAGAAGAAUAUUCACCUGUUUCUCAAGGUGUGUCUCCAACCCAAACAAAGAUGGUGACAGGAUAUCAACAUGGCAUCAGUGAUGAUUUAGGACAUUAGUGAUGUCACACAGGUGUACUAUAACUUGAGGUAAACGUCAUGUGACCAGACGGGAUGAGGUUUUAAAGGGACGCGGGACUCCUCUCAUCCAGCUUUUAAUUUGACACAUAAACCACCGUGGAUUAGAGUCCUUCCUGCAGAGACAGCAUCCUACCUACAGUCCAUCAAUGACUCUAAACUAUUAUUGAUUUCUGACUUUUACUCCCAGUAAACCUCCUGCAUUUAAGGUGGAAUGAUCAGACUGUCAACGAAUUAGGGCCGACAGAGGACGGACCCAGCAGGCAGAGACAGAGGACGACAGGCUUUACUUUUCUGUUCUGUUGUCUGAUUUAGUGGAUUUGUCGCUGUCUCCUUUGUCUCAGUUUUUUCAGCUGCAUGUUCUACACGUUCCCUUUAGCAUAAUUUUUCAACGUGCAGGGUAAACUACAGCAUCAUUAAACUGGUUUAUGGUUCAGUUCAGACUCUCACAGCGCUUGGUUAAGGUUCAGGAAGGAUCCUGGUCUGGUUUAACACUGAAAAAGUUCACUGUGUAUCCUGACCAGUGAGAACGAGUUCUUUUCAGAGUAAAGAUUCUGAAACAAACUGGACAUGUGGAAAGACACAGUUUAA